UCUCUCUUUCUUCUUCUUUUCUUCUGCUUCUGUUCAUCUUCUCCGGCGAUCUUGUGUGAUGAUUCUGAGGUCGAAUUCAAAGAGAACUUAGGGGAAACUUUAGGAAUUGAUAGUUGGUGCUGAUGUUGUUGUUAAUUGAGUUCGAUAAAAAAAAGAGGGGAUGCUACUGUGAGAUUUGAAUUAGGGUUUGAGAUUAUUUGAGAAUUGAUAAGUUAAAUGAGACGUUAACAGAUAAAGAAAGCUUGGGUUGAUGUUUAAUUGAAGUUGCAGAGUUGUUCUAGUGAUUGAAUCCAAAUUUAGGGUUCAUGUGUUCUUCCCCGAAUGAGAAUUAGGAGUUAUGGAGGUGAAUUAGGGUUCGAGUAGAAUUGAUGUUGUUUACGAGUUACUGAUAGAUGUUGAAGGAAGGGGUGGCUACUAAUUUGGUGUUGUGAAGAUGUUUUGAAGAUGAAUCUAUGAAUCAAAGAGCUAGGGUUUCUGGAAGUGGAUUCGAAUUUUUAGGUGAACUGAGAGGUGAUUUGGGUUGCUACUAGUUGAAUAACAGAAGGGUUGUAAUUAAACUGAAGUGUUGAACUUGAUUUAGGAGACUGAGAUCAAAAGAAGAGAAGAUGGUGGUGGUGUUGAUUCAGGUUUCAAUUCAACACAAGAGAAAAGGUAAUCUAAUUUAAGGUUUCUUAUAUUUGAUUCUGUUUUAGGGUUCAUUGAGUAAUUAAUUAGAUUACAUCAAUUAGAUGAAUGAGUAUUAUCUGAUUUAUGAAUUGGAUGAGUUGUAGUUGUUGAGUUAUGAUAAUUACAGUGUUGAAUUGAGUAGAGUGUUGGUUUCAGUAAGUGAAAUAAAAUGGAGAUGGACUGGAGUUGAUUGUUGUUUUAAAUUACAGGGAAUUGUCUUGUAUUGAAUUAGUAGAAGGAUUGCUAAGUUGCAGGGAAGAGUUGAACCAGUGGUAGAUAGAGAUAGAGGUAACGUUUGUGUAUGGAUUGAAGAUGGUUGUAACUGAGUCGUGUUGGGGGUGAGGUCUGGUGGUGUAAAAUAUGAUUGUAAAUGGGAUUAAAAUUGAGAUAUUGUUUAGUUAAUGGAACUGGAGAAAGAAUGUUAUUGCAGGGAACUAAUUAUGGAGGAAGUGAAGAGCUGGAGACGAUGAAUAUGGAGUUGGGUUACUGGUACAAGAUGUGGUUGGUUAAUUGGUGGGCAUAUGUUGAGUUGCAGAUAUAGCUAAUGUGAGUUUAGGGAUGUAAACUGAAUCUAGUGGAUGAUAAUGUUGAUGUUGAAGUUCAGAUUGAGUUACAGGAAGGUAAGUUGUAGCUAAGGUUAGUGGUAGUAUUGUAUGGGAUUCUCAGAUGAAGUCUGGUGAUGGUUUUGUUAGUUAGAGAUGUGUUCUUGGAUGUAAUAGUAUGGCUUAAGGGCAGUCUCUAUGAAGGCUUAUCACUGCAAUUGCAGUUUCAGAGACAGAUCAGAGUUGCGCAGCGAAAGCUUCGAGGAGUUGUGUUCGUUAGUUAGUUAACUUCGGCUACGUUUAUUAUGUUGCAUAUUAUAUUUGUAAACCAAAUGACUAUUGUAUAUGUAUCAUUUGAGAGAAGUUCUUGCAUAUAUAUUUCUGAGCGGGGCUAAUUUUGUAGCA